rnacentral:rRNA from 1 species
AGCGGCGGACGGGUGAGUAAUGCCUAGGAAAUUGCCCUGAUGUGGGGGAUAACCAUUGGAAACGAUGGCUAAUACCGCAUAAUAGCUUCGGCUCAAAGAGGGGGACCUUCGGGCCUCUCGCGUCAGGAUAUGCCUAGGUGGGAUUAGCUAGUUGGUGAGGUAAGGGCUCACCAAGGCGACGAUCCCUAGCUGGUCUGAGAGGAUGAUCAGCCACACUGGAACUGAGACACGGUCCAGACUCCUACGGGAGGCAGCAGUGGGGAAUAUUGCACAAUGGGCGCAAGCCUGAUGCAGCCAUGCCGCGUGUAUGAAGAAGGCCUUCGGGUUGUAAAGUACUUUCAGCAGUGAGGAAGGCGGAUGCGUUAAUAGCGUAUUCGUUUGACGUUAGCUGCAGAAGAAGCACCGGCUAACUCCGUGCCAGCAGCCGCGGUAAUACGGAGGGUGCGAGCGUUAAUCGGAAUUACUGGGCGUAAAGCGCAUGCAGGUGGUUUGUUAAGUCAGAUGUGAAAGCCCGGGGCUCAACCUCGGAAUAGCAUUUGAAACUGGCAGA